UUCACCCCUCUCACCUAAGCAG
rnacentral:miRNA from 1 species